UGGGGAAUAUUGGACAAUGGGCGCAAGCCUGAUCCAGCCAUGCCGCGUGAGUGAUGAAGGCCCUAGGGUUGUAAAGAUCUUUCACCGGUGAAGAUAAUGACGGUAACCGGAGAAGAAGCCCCGGCUAACUUCGUGCCAGCAGCCGCGGUAAUACGAAGGGGGCUAGCGUUGUUCGGAUUUACUGGGCGUAAAGCGCACGUAGGCGGACUAUUAAGUCAGGAGUGAAAUCCCGGGGCUCAACCCCGGAACUGCCUUUGAUACUGGUAGUCUUGAGUUCGAGAGAGGUGAGAUGAAUUCCGAGUGUAGAGGUGAAAUUCGUAGAUAUUCGGAGGAACACCAGUGGCGAAGGCUGCUCACUGGCUCGAUACUGACGCUGAGGUGCGAAAGCGUGGGGAGCGAACAGG
rnacentral:rRNA from 1 species